AUACGGAGGGUCCAAGCGUUAUCCGGAUUCAUUGGGUUUAAAGGGUCCGCAGGCGGGAAAAUAAGUCAGUGGUGAAAGCCUACAGCUCAACUGUAGAACUGCCAUUGAAACUGUUUUUCUUGAGUAUAGAUGAAGUGGGCGGAAUAUAUCAUGUAGCGGUGAAAUGCAUAGAUAUGAUAUAGAACACCGAUUGCGAAGGCAGCUCACUAAACUAUUACUGACGCUCAGGGACGAAAGCGUGGGGAGCGAACAGUAUUAGAUACCCUAGUAGUCC
rnacentral:rRNA from 1 species